AUCACAAGUUCUCGCUGAUCUGUCUGCAGCACUGUUUACUCUGGAGGCUCCAAAAGUGUCUUGUGGACUCAAACACUUCACUCCAUCGGCAUAGUGCCGAGGGGAGCAUUGAAAGCAGGCCCUGGGAUAGAUAGAUGGGACCGAGAAGUCUGCUAAAGGCAGUUACUGCCGCUGCACAGCUGCAUCGGGUUCCUCAGACUCGUGGGGCAGCGUGGCUCUGCGUUUCCCGCUUGGUAAGCAGAGGAUGGUCCGAGUCUGGGGGAGAACGUUAUUCAGCAUAUCCUACCUGUGUCUGCUCGCCUGCAGUCUUCAUAUCUGAUCGGUCAGGAGGACAGAAGUGGACGUUUCUGUGAGGAAACUACAACUGGUGAAGAUGCUCUGCACCAUGAUAAAAGUGAAAGUAAUUAAAUCUCCUGUCCCGUCUUCUGAUG